CAGGAUCGCAGCCUUUGGCAGCUCCUACAGGGUAUUGCGUAUACCUGUAGGAGCUGCCGAAGGCUGCGAUCUUU
rnacentral:misc_RNA from 1 species